rnacentral:rRNA from 16 species
AGUCGAACGGAAUCCUUAGGGAUUUAGUGGCGGACGGGUGAGUAACACGUAAGAACCUGCCUCUAGGACGGGGACAACAGUUGGAAACGACUGCUAAACCCGGAUGAGCCGAAAGGUAAAAGAUUAAUCGCCUAGAGAGGGGCUUGCGUCUGAUUAGCUAGUUGGUGAGGUAAGAGCCCACCAAGGCGACGAUCAGUAGCUGGUCUGAGAGGAUGAUCAGCCACACUGGGACUGAGACACGGCCCAGACUCCUACGGGAGGCAGCAGUGGGGAAUUUUCCGCAAUGGGCGAAAGCCUGACGGAGCAAGACCGCGUGGGGGAGGAAGGUUCUUGGAUUGUCAACCCCUUUUCUCAGGGAAGAACACAAUGACGGUACCUGAGGAAAAAGCAUCGGCUAACUCCGUGCCAGCAGCCGCGGUAAUACGGGGGAUGCAAGCGUUAUCCGGAAUGAUUGGGCGUAAAGAGUCCGUAGGUAGUCAUCCAAGUCUGCUGUUAAAGAGCGAGGCUUAACCUCGUAAAGGCAGUGGAAACUGGAAGACUAGAGUGUAGUAGGGGCAGAGGGAAUUCCUGGUGUAGCGGUGAAAUGCGUAGAGAUCAGGAAGAACACCGGUGGCGAAGGCGCUCUGCUGGGCUAUAACUGACACUGAGGGACGAAAGCUAGGGGAGCGAAUGGGAUUAGAUACCCCAGUAGUCCUAGCGGUAAACGAUGGAAACUAGGUGUGGCCUGUAUCGACCCGGGCCGUGCCGAAGCAAACGCGUUAAGUUUCCCGCCUGGGGAGUACGCACGCAAGUGUGAAACUCAAAGGAAUUGACGGGGGCCCGCACAAGCGGUGGAGUAUGUGGUUUAAUUCGAUGCAACGCGAAGAACCUUACCAGGACUUGACAUCUCUGGAAUCUCCUUGAAAGGGGAGAGUGCCGUAAGGAACCGGAAGACAGGUGCUGCAUGGCUGUCGUCAGCUCGUGUCGUGAGAUGUUGGGUUAAGUCCCGCAACGAGCGCAACCCUCGUCGUUAGUUGCCAUCAUUAAGUUGGGAACUCUAGCGAGACUGCCGGUGACAAACCGGAGGAAGGUGAGGAUGACGUCAAGUCAGCAUGGCCCUUACGUCCUGGGCGACACACGUACUACAAUGCGAGGGACACAGAGCAGCCAACCCGCGAGGGAGAGCGAAUCUCACAAACCCUGGCACAGUUCAGAUUGCAGGCUGCAACUCGCCUGCAUGAAGGAGGAAUCGCUAGUAAUCGCAGGUCAGCAUACUGCGGUGAAUCCGUUCCCGGGCCUUGUACACACCGCCCGUCACACCAUGGAAGUGAGCCACGCCCGAAGUCAUUACUCUAACCCUUUCGGGGGAGGAGGGUGCCGAAGGCGGGGUUGAUGACUGGGGU